UCUGGCACCUUCGGUGUCCGAGUUGUAAUUUGAAGAAGGUAACUUUGGAGUUGGCUCUUGUCUAUGUUCCUUGGAACAGGACGUCACAGAGGGUGAGAAUCCCGUGCGAUGAGAUGUCCAACUCUAUGUAAAGUGCUUUCGAAGAGUCGAGUUGUUUGGGAAUGCAGCUCUAAGUGGGUGGUAAAUUCCAUCUAAAGCUAAAUAUUGGCGAGAGACCGAUAGCGAACAAGUACAGUGAUGGAAAGAUGAAAAGAACUUUGAAAAGAGAGUGAAAAAGUACGUGAAAUUGUUGAAAGGGAAGGGUUUGAGAUCAGACUUGGUAUUUUGUAUGUCUUGCUUUCGGGUGGGGCCUCUGCAGUUUACUGGGCCAGCAUCGGUUUGGACGGUAGGAUAAUGACAUUGGAAUGUGGCACUACUUCGGUGGUGUGUUAUAGACUUUGUUGAUACUGCCUGUCUAGACCGAGGACUGCGUCUUUGACUAGGAUGCUGGCAUAAUGAUCCUAAAC
rnacentral:rRNA from 1 species